UUACUUGGAUAACUGUGGUAAUUCUAGAGCUAAUACAUGCAAACAGAGCUCCGACCGGAGACGGAAGGAGCGCUUUUAUUAGAUCAAAACCAAUCGGUGGCGGGUUCGCUCGUCAUCGUACAACUUGGUGACUCUGAAUAACUUUAAGCUGAUCGCACGGUCUUGCACCGGCGACGCAUCUUUCAAAUGUCUGCCUUAUCAACUGUCGAUGGUAGGUUCUGCGCCUACCAUGGUUGUAACGGGUAACGGGGAAUCAGGGUUCGAUUCCGGAGAGGGAGCCUGAGAAACGGCUACCACAUCCAAGGAAGGCAGCAGGCGCGCAAAUUACCCACUCCCGGCACGGGGAGGUAGUGACGAAAAAUAACGAUACGGGACUCAUCCGAGGCCCCGUAAUCGGAAUGAGUACACUCUAAACCCUUUAACGAGGAUCAAUUGGAGGGCAAGUCUGGUGCCAGCAGCCGCGGUAAUUCCAGCUCCAAUAGCGUAUAUUAAAGUUGUUGCGGUUAAAAAGCUCGUAGUCGAAUCUGUGUCCCGCGCCGCCGGUUCAUCGUCCGCGGUGUUAACUGGCGUGUCGCGGGACGUCCUGCCGGUGGGCUUAGCUCGCAAGGGCGGCCCAACUCAAUCCCGCCGCGGUGCUCUUCACUGAGUGUCGAGGUGGGCCGGCACGUUUACUUUGAACAAAUUAGAGUGCUUAAAGCAGGCUAAAACUUCGCCUGAAUACUGUGUGCAUGGAAUAAUGGAAUAGGACCUCGGUUCUAUUUUGUUGGUUUUCGGAACCCCGAGGUAAUGAUUAAUAGG
rnacentral:rRNA from 1 species